rnacentral:tRNA from 3 species
AAGAAAUUAGCUCAGUUGGUAGAGCAGUCGUUUUACACACGAAAGGUCAGGUGUUCAAAUCACCUAUUUCUUA